ACAAUAAGGGGAGCUUGUAUUACAGGCUGAGAGGAAGGUAUAUCCUUCGACCCAGGAACCUGAUGCGGAUAAUGCCGUCGUAGGAAGUUGUUGUA
rnacentral:ncRNA from 1 species